rnacentral:ncRNA from 1 species
GAUCUUCAGGGCAGGGUGAGAUUCCCGAUCGGCGGUAAAGUCCGCGAGUGUGUGAGCACAGGACUUGGCAUUUGUCCAAGUCAGGAUCCGGUGAGAUUCCGGAACCGACAGUAUAGUCUGGAUGGAAGAAGAU